rnacentral:tRNA from 1 species
GACACUUUGGCCGAGUGGUUAAGGCGAUUGACUAGAAUCAUCUCUUCUCAACGAGUGAUUACGUAAUCAAUUUCUUUCGGGAGCGCAGGUUCAAAUCCUGCAGGUGUCG